rnacentral:rRNA from 1 species
GACGAACGCUGGCGGCGUGCUUAACACAUGCAAGUCGAACGGAAAGGCCCUGCUUUUGUGGGGUGCUCGAGUGGCGAACGGGUGAGUAACACGUGAGUAACCUGCCCUUGACUUUGGGAUAACUUCAGGAAACUGGGGCUAAUACCGGAUAGGAGCUCCUGCUGCAUGGUGGGGGGUGGAAAGUUUCGGCGGUUGGGGAUGGACUCGCGGCUUAUCAGCUUGUUGGUGGGGUAGUGGCUUACCAAGGAUUUGACGGGUAGCCGGCCUGAGAGGGUGACCGGCCACAGUGGGACUGAGAUACGGACCAGACUCCUACGGGAGGCAGCAGUGGGGAAUAUUGCACAAUGGGCGGAAGCCUGAUGCAGCAACGCCGCGUGCGGGAUGACGGCCUUCGGGUUGUAAACCGCUUUCGCCUGUGACGAAGCGUGAGUGACGGUAAUGGGUAAAGAAGCACCGGCUAACUACGU